AUGACUGUCUCUUCUUCAGUGCCAGUCAUUUCUUCAGUGAUAGUGAUUUCUUCAGUGAUAGUGAUUUCUGCUGCUGCUGCGUCCGCUGUUUUCCUGGCUGCUGUUCUCUGGCUGAUCUGCAGAAAAAGAGCUGGUAAUAAAAGACAGACGGAUGAAUCGGUGGUCAAAGAUGAGAAUGAAGAUAAAGUGACGUAUGAGACGAUCAACAUGUCCACUCCUGCUGCUGCGAGAGACAACGAGCAGACAGUUGAUGUGACUUACUCUGAAGUCUCUUGUUCCAGUAAAAAUCCAGUAAAAUCACUCAAAGAUCAAGAUGAUUCAGUAACUUACGCUGCCAUCAGAGGAACAGAAAAUGAGCCGCUGGGUGAACUUUACGCCUCUGUGAACAAGAACAAGAGCUGCACAAAUCCAGAUUCAUGAUACAGAUCACUGCAUGAGCUCCUCGUAUCAGCAGCAGAUGUGACGUUUCCACGACUGCUGAGAUUCACGAUACAUUUGGAAGAAUUAUACGAAACGUAUGUCAGGUAUUUCUUGAACGGAAAAGCAAAAUGCUGUAAAAAAAAAAAAACUUUCCCAAAUUUUCAACCAAAAUGCAGAAAAAGCUACUCUUUCUUUCAGUAUUUAAAGACUGUUUCUUGUAGAGCGUAGUCUGAGAAUUACAUCAGUGUCAGUUUAAAUUAUAUUCUUUAUGUCACAAAAUUAAAUAUCAGUUAUUUCUUUUUUCCACAUGUGACAAAGAGUCAUGGGUUCAAACAAAGGUACUUGUGUCUUCUGUUCCAGUAAGAUGAUUUUGUUUUCAUUAUGUUCAUUCAAAUACUGUGUGUGUAGUCAAAUACUAAAAAAAAAAAUCUCAUGACUGUAUCUCUCUGUUUUGCUUCUAAUGUCAGCUUGCUCUUCUGACAACUUACCCCAUAUAUUGUGACGACAAGGAACUUUUUUUUUUUUUUUUUCUGGGCAAUAAUGGAAGGAAGUGUUCAGUUGCCUUUUUGUUUUUGGAGUUGGUUAAUCAUCCUCUGCUGAGAUCUUGAGAGGUUUCAUUGAUUUGAUUUGCAGUCUAUGUUUCAAUGCAUUAGUUCAGUUAUUAUUUGCAGAAAUAAAUUUAAAUGGGAAUUGAUCCUUCUUUAUUUU
ensembl:lncRNA